UGGGUGACUUAUAUAAUGUGCAAAAACAGGAAGAAAACUGCCUUGUUGGUAAAAAUAGGAAAGUGAGGAGUAGCAGGAACUGGGGUCCCUCAAAGCCUGGCUAAGACAUGGCAUUGCAAUGAAUGGUAUGGUAGCCAGUCAUGUGCCACCAAAUGGCUGUGAUACAAAAAUGUUUUUGUAGGAAAAAGUGUUCUGUUGGCUCUUGUAGAACAGGUGCAGUGGAGAGGAACCAGGGAGCUGUGUAAGGGGACAACCUCUAAUAACAACAACACACUGUGGCUAGCGUCUCUUAGGCACCAGAGCUUCAAGGAUAAUGAUCCUGUCCUGUUCCCAGUGCACUCCCAGAGCCUUGAAGACAGCAGAAGUCCUCUAAGCCCUGUGUGGUGAGAGAGGAUUUCCAGAGGAGUCAUCAGAACUGAGCGUGAAGAAGGGCUGUGUGUGACCCAAUGGAGGAUGCUGAAGAGGGCAUUCGAAGCAGAGAAGAACAUGUGCAAAGCAGGAGACGGGCAGAACAGGAGGGAUUCUAAAACAGCAGGUGUGCUGCAGAGGAAGAAGGGUGGCUGCAAACCCUGAGGAGGAAAAGGAUUAAGUUUAAAAAAAAUACACAGGAAGGAAUAAGAAGGAGAGAUACCAUAAAGAAAAUAUUAACAGGACCUGAUCACUGAGCGGUUUGGAAGGUAACAUUGGAACAUACAGGUGGCAGGUAGGGGAGAAUUUGGAGACUUUUGAAAAGAAUGUGAAAUUGGAGAGUGGGGCUCAGGUAAGUGCUGAAAACAGAUUUGGGAAUAGUUCCCAUACAGAUGGAAGAAGAGACUGCGAAGAAACUCAAUGUUUAUGGGAAUAUGAAUGAUUUCUUCAUAGGAUUCAUACACAGACAUCCAAUAUUUCUGAGCAUGGCAUAAUCCUAUUGUAUACCUCCUUCUGAUAUCUGGAAUACAACCAAUGUAUUCACAUAAUGAUCAUAAGCUAUGUCUACUAACUCUCAUGUAUCAUACCCAGUUGGUUUCUAUUCUAGAACUAUGAGGUCAGUACUUGUGAAAUGUAUAUUGAGGUCUACUAUGAAAUUUGCUUUUAUUCUCUCCACAAACAGAGCUUUUAUGUUUGUGCAAUAAAAGUUCAAGAGAUACAUAUACAUCUGGUUAAAUACUUACUGAGACAUCAAAUAUAAUGUUUAUUAGUUGAAUAUAAUGCACAUAAAUCACAUUUCCAAUAAAAUAUACAUAUGCUUUGGAAAUUAAAGAGACUAUUUUAGCAAUUAUAUAGUGAACUCUUGCUGACCUAACUUGCAAAAUAUUUAGAUAAAAUUAAGUUAUUGUCUGAUUCAUCCAUGUCUAAAAUGAUUUUACCCACAUUAAAAUAAAUCAAUGAGAUCUUUAUAAAAGGUUAUAGAUAGUACCACAAACCUAAUACCAAAAUAACCACUAAUAUAAUCUACUCUGAACCAUCCCUUAGUGAUCCGGAUGUUGCUAUUUUUACUAGGAUACCAGGUUAAACUAGACAUCUGAAAAAGACAUUCUAAUGAGAAAUUCAAAUAGCUCUUGCUACCCCUGGAAAUAUAAGAAUACUCCACCGAAGGACAUAUCCUUUCAUUUUAGGCAGUCCCCAAAGAGAGGUGCUGGUGACUAACUUAAUGACUGGGAAGAUAUUUAUGCUGAGUAUGUCUCAGGAUAUUAUAACAAUAUAUUACAGGAGAAAAGGUCUAUCAAAGUCAAUUCUACCACUUACAUUUUGAAGAAUUUAGACAUUACUAUUUAGAAUUCAUAUUUUAUUUUGUUUUCAAUAAACAAGUACUCUACUAGCCUCUGGACAUAUAACCACUACAAUAUAAUAUUUUAGUAAGGUAUAAACAGAAGUGUUUUCUGAAAAACAAAAUAGGUCAAAUCGCUGAAAGAACUAACUUGGGUUUUAAGAAGAGUUUAAUUUUCCAGGUGCUAUAACUGGAGACCUAUUGAAAUACAGUUUUACUUUCCAUAGGGUUAUUAAUGAAGGGGUAAGGCCCCAGAGACAGGGUGAGUAUCAGUAAAAAGGGCUGAAAGGACAUCAGCAUAGAGGUUCAUAGCUCCACACUACAUGCUGGGAAGGAAAAGGUGAACAGCAG
rnacentral:lncRNA from 10 species